rnacentral:rRNA from 1 species
CCUACGGGUGGCUGCAGUGGGGAAUAUUGGACAAUGGGCGCAAGCCUGAUCCAGCAAUGCCGCGUGGGUGAUGAAGGCCUUCGGGUUGUAAAGCCCUUUUGGCGGGGACGAUGAUGACGGUACCCGCCGAAUAAGCUCCGGCUAACUUCGUGCCAGCAGCCGCGGUAAUACGAAGGGAGCUAGCGUUGUUCGGAAUUACUGGGCGUAAAGGGCGCGUAGGCGGUUUCGAUAGUCAGGCGUGAAAUCCCCAGGCUCAACCUGGGAAUUGCGCUUGAUACUGCGAGACUUGAGUGAGGGAGAGGAUAGUGGAAUUCCCAGUGUAGAGGUGAAAUUCGUAGAUAUUGGGAAGAACACCAGUGGCGAAGGCGGCUAUCUGGACCUCAACUGACGCUGAGGCGCGAAAGCGUGGGGAGCAAACAGGAUUAGAUACCCUGGUAGUCUAU